rfam:TPA: Bos taurus chromosome 19, whole genome shotgun sequence.
CUAGUCGUGGCCGAGUGGUUAAGGUGAUGGACUAGAAAUCCAACGGGGUCUCCCUGCACAGAUUCAAAUCCUGCUGACUAUG